rnacentral:rRNA from 1 species
UACGAAGGGGGCUAGCGUUGUUCGGAAUUACUGGGCGUAAAGCGCGCGCAGGCGGUUCUUCAAGUCAGUGGUGAAAGCCCGGAGCUCAACUCCGGAACUGCCAUUGAAACUGUGGAACUUGAGGAUGAGAGAGUGAGUGAAAUUCUGGUGUAGCGGUGAAAAAUGCGUAGAUAUCAAGGAGGAACACCUGUGGCGAAAAGCGGGCUCACUGGACCAUAACUGACGCUGA